rnacentral:rRNA from 1 species
GGGGUGCUCGAGUGGCGAACGGGUGAGUAACACGUGAGUAACCUGCCCUUGACUUUGGGAUAACUUCAGGAAACUGGGGCUAAUACCGGAUAGGAGCUCCUGCUGCAUGGUGGGGGUUGGAAAGUUUCGGCGGUUGGGGAUGGACUCGCGGCUUAUCAGCUUGUUGGUGGGGUAGUGGCUUACCAAGGCUUUGACGGGUAGCCGGCCUAAGAGGGUGACCGGCCACAUUGGGACUGAGAUACGGCCCAG